GCUGGGCCGAAGGGCUCCGGAGGGCCGCCGGAUCUCCUCGUCCCCGUUUCUUCUUCUCCCUUCUCCCGAAGUUUCGCGACCCAACCUUAUCAACCAAUGGAAUGUUCACUAGCAUUAUUGCUAUGACUCUCAGGUGCUCUUAAGCCACCAAGUGCCCAGGCGCCGUUCCAGAAGCUUUGCGUGUGUUAUCCUCCCUCGUCUACCGCAGCCGGUAGCCACGAGUGGCCUUUGGCAGAUGGAAACAGGGAAAAAUAUCAGAAUCAAGAUUCACAAUAAUUUCAGAGGAAUAGGAGUGUGGGUUAAAUCACUGAGAUACCAAGCAGUGCUACGUGUCCAGUUCAACAAGUCCUCUCUCCACCUCUGGGAUGGGAGGCGACCGGAGAGAGAGAAGGUACAAGACCGAGAACUUGAGCUGCCUGCAGGCUCAGGAAGAUCUGCGAGAAAAUCUGGCUCAAAGCUACCAUGAUGUCAAGUAUCAUUAAUGAAAAUGCCACCCCUGGAACAAGGUGGACUGAAGAGGAGUUUGGCACAACUUUUGCCAUUCUUUUCUGAGCAAAGUCGGCUGGACCCCCCUGGGUGAGGGGGAAAGUAGGGUCUGUAGAGUAGCCAGCAAAGACCUUGACUCCACAGAAGAUUGCACACCCGCCUUCCAGUGAUGCCAAGUAGGAGUCAGGGGACCCUGGAGGAGAACAGGAGGGGGCAGGCAGCCUGUGAGCCUUGC